AUUCUCGCCAAUAUUUUAUUUAUCCUAUUUCUUGUACAUGGACGACAUAUUCAAGAUAAGAUAUGAUAAUUAAAUUAUUCAUAUGUUUACAAUUUUAAAUUUUUCACUUUUCACCAUCGAUGAUAUGUUAAACAAAUACAUUCCAGACCAUAAAUAUACAUUACAGACCAUAAAUAUUAACUAUCAUAUGUACCAAAUGGAUGUUGGGUGUGUUAUUUGAAAUUAUUUAUUAUCACCAGCUAAAGUUUUCAUCCUACAUAAAUCAGCCUAACAAAUGGAGUGUGUCUUGAAGUAUCAACUCGAUCUAAUGAGAUUGACUAAAGAGUGAGUUUUUUUACGUACUUAUUACAAAUACGAGAUAUUUGUAAAAUAAUUUCAAUCCAUUUGAUUCUCUCCCAUAUCUCACCCAUCCUUUUUCUGUA
rnacentral:lncRNA from 1 species